UUCUCUCGAUUUGCUUCAAUCUCUCUUUGUUUCCCCCCUGUUUUAUUCAUCCUCAUUCCCCUACAGGUAUAUCCCACGGAUUGAUCUGCAGGCUGGAUCAAGUGGUGCCCAGUGUGGGGGCUCCUGGCACAGGGGAGUCAACAAGGGAGCCAUUGGAGAACUCCGGCUAAAAGUGAAAGCAAACUGAAUUAAGGACUGAGGCCUGUGCAGACAACUACCCAACGUGCUGCCUGAGUCACACUAUAGGAAGCUGAGAACUGUUCUCAAGAAGCCCUGAGAACAGUUGGAAGAACCAUGAAUGCUGAAGAAACUGCACGUACUGCAGAGCUCGGUACUGAGAAGGCCAUACACUAACAACAGGAGAUGCACUGGCUCACCAAGAUACCUCGCAGCAAGCACACUAGAAGCACGAAGUAAAACCGUUCUUUUCCAGUGUUCUUCCAGUACUGCUGCUGAAGCUCGAUAGUGUGUCACUGGUAAAGGCAAUUCUAUCUAAAGGGCCCAGAUCUGCUGCCACCAGUCAGGUGAAAAGGGUGAAAUUAGAACGAAGAAGCAAUAUACAAAGAUUGGCAGAAUGUGUAUAUACAAAUGCUGACAAUGGGUUUCUGGAUAGGAAGUUAGGGGUUAAUUUGACAUUAUUCUUUAAGAUUUGCCAUAUUUCUACAAUGUGAAUAUAAAAUAAAUGCAAAAUUUCCUCUGUAAAUGAAACCUACCAACUUCAUAGUAGCUUUAAUAUCCAUUCAUGCAUAAACUACUUUUAACUGAAGCAUAAAGCAAAAGCACAAGUAUAGUAUACACGCCGUAUAUUUAACAUUUCAUUUGGAUCCUAUUGGCUCUUUCACUAUAUAAUCACUUACUUUUUUAAGAAAAAAUUACUUUGUAAGUCAUUAUAGCAUGCUAUUUAUUUUACUUAUUUUUUUUAAAAUGUAGUUACUAAUGUGUUUUAAUAUUUUCUGAAUAAUAAUAUCAAGCUGUGAGUACUUUGGACCUGAGUGUAAUUACUACUGACAGUGUUUUGGUUUCCCAACAUUUCCUGAGUCAUUUUGGUAACUAUUACCUGCUUGAUUACAAAAGAAAUACUAGGCACACAAUUGAUCAUCAUUUUUGCAAGAAGACUAAAUGUUUGGUUUGUUCUUGCAAUCCAUGUAUUGCCUUUACCCUUGCUUGUAUCUUCCAUGUAUUUCAUAUCUAUAACCUCCUGAAUUCAGAGAAAAACAGGAUCAGAAAACAGGAUAGUGACUUUAAAAUUCAUUAUAGAGCUUUCAUUUUCAAGUAAGCAGCAUCCAUUGGAUUUAAAUAUUGUUACCACUUUUGUCUACACAGGACUUGAAGAUUCACACAGAACUGCAAUCAGCUGGAGCUCAAUUAAAGCUUGAAUGUGAUAAUGGUAUGCUGACCAACAAAGAUACUAUCCUUUUCACGUGAUUGAGUCAGAGGGAAUGACCAUGCUGUGGGGACAUUUUAAGGUCUUACACAUAAAACUACAUCUCUCACAAGAACUCAAAUAUAAUUAGAAAUUUUUUUUCUUUAUAGAAGGUAUUGAUUCUCACCUUCCUUCCUGUAUUUUAUUAAACUCCAUCUAUUUUAA